rnacentral:rRNA from 1 species
GAUGAACGCUGGCGGCGUGCCUAAUACAUGCAAGUCGAGCGAACGGACGAGAAGCUUGCUUCUCUGAUGUUAGCGGCGGACGGGUGAGUAACACGUGGAUAACCUACCUAUAAGACUGGGAUAACUUCGGGAAACCGGAGCUAAUACCGGAUAAUAUUUUGAACCGCAUGGUUCAAAAGUGAAAGACGGUCUUGCUGUCACUUAUAGAUGGAUCCGCGCUGCAUUAGCUAGUUGGUAAGGUAACGGCUUACCAAGGCAACGAUGCAUAGCCGACCUGAGAGGGUGAUCGGCCACACUGGAACUGAGACACGGCCCAGACUCCUACGGGAGGCAGCAGUAGGGAAUCUUCCGCAAUGGGCGAAAGCCUGACGGAGCAACGCCGCGUGAGUGAUGAAGGUCUUCGGAUCGUAAAACUCUGUUAUUAGGGAAGAACAUAUGUGUAAUUAACUGUGCACAUCUUGACGGUACCUAAUCAGAAAGCCACGGCUAACUACGUG